rnacentral:lncRNA from 1 species
AUGAAUGAGUGUAAACCAAAAUAUGGGUUCAUGUGCACAAGAUACCAUGGUGAUCUCAGGUCAUAGGAUCAGUUGCACAACUCCCACUAAGAGAAUCAUCUUUUGACAUGUAAGUAAGACUUCAUAAGAUUUCUCUUUGUAGGUCAAUUCAGUGAACUCAUUCCUCUAAUGAGCACCCACAUCUUUGUAUUAGUGUCUCCACACAAAUGAUUGUGAGAUCAAUCAUCCUCUGCAUCGAGCAUACAUAAGACAUGCCAGUCUUUCCGGUAAUCAUUGAUCCCCGACUCACUGUACCAAUGACUGGGAAUAUUUAAGAUUAGGAUUUUAGGAUUUUGAGUCUCACUAGUAUGAUCUCAUCAUAGUCUUAAAACCAUUGCCCUAAUUUAAGGAGUUUAUCAUAAAUAUAAUCAACAGC